GUGGGGUAAUGGCCUACCAAGGCGACGAUGCAUAUCCGGUCUGAGAGGAUGAUCGGACACACUGGAACUGAGACACGGUCCAGACUCCUACGGGAGGCAGCAGUGGGGAAUAUUGCGCAAUGGGGGAAACCCUGACGCAGCAACGCCGCGUGAGUGAGGAAGGACUUCGGUCUGUAAAGCUCUGUUAAUGUGGAAAAAUGCUUAGUGGUCUAAUAGGCCAUUGAGUUGAUGGUACACAUAGAGGAAGCACCGGCUAACUUCGUGCCAGCAGCCGCGGUAAUACGAAGGGUGCAAGCGUUGUUCGGAUUUAUUGGGCGUAAAGCGCACGUAGGUGGACUUAUAAGUCAGAUGUGAAAUCUCGGGGCUCAACCUCGAAACUGCGUCUGAAACUGUGAGUCUAGAAUCUUGGAGGGGGCAGGGGAAUUUCACAUGUA
rnacentral:rRNA from 1 species